GCCUUGUACGCCAUCGCUGCAAAUCAAAUUUUGCCUUAAGGCCCAGGCUUCCUCAAUGUCGAAUUUAAUUACGAUCAGUUCACUGGUUUCAUCGUGAUGACGUAACAAACAGAGGAGCUCGGGGGGAUGUCGAGUCUCGAAGCAAUGCGGAGGAGUUCGGGAGAGCGCGG